GCACCGUGCGCCAUCUCCUGCGAUUCCCGCCACUGCCUGUUUCUAGCGCGGCUCUCCGCCUCCCAGCGACGACGAGGAAGAUGACGGGGGAGCUGCCCGUCUUCACGCAUGGCGCCCCUGGUCCUUGGAUCCCCGCUCCCCUCCGGCGACCCUACUCGCUCGCCCGGCGCUCGCUCCGGUGACCAGCCGCGCGUCACACGAUAGAUCCCCAAGCUCCUUCACAUUCAGCGCCGCCGCCACGCAACCUCAUCUCCGUUUUCUCUUCAUUACGACCUGUAGCCUGUAGGAGUUUCUUCAGCUGCGGUUCAACAAGAAAACCAGCGGCAGUCCAUGCACCCGUUCUAUCUCUUUCCUCUCUAAUGCUCUUUAUCUUACUAAUUUGUUUUCUAUUGGAACUGCAGCCCGAGGGAGGUUGGACGGACAGCAUAUUGGCGAUGUUAACAUCAGUUUGUUUAUAUUGAACUGAUGAUCGUGUAUUAGUACUACUGAAGUCAAGCAAUGAGUUCAAUGGAUUCCAAAAAGGAAAAAAAUUAUGGAUGGGUGAUGAAUCAACUUCCUGUACUGUUGUGCCAUUAGCAUUGGACGACCCCGACCACUGGCACCACUGCUUCCCUACCUCCUGCUUGCAUCGCCAUCUCCCGGUGGGGCUCUGCCGCCGGAGCACCCUGGCCGUUCACAGCCACCACUCCAGGCCGUUCAACGCCACCACCCCAGGCCGUUCAUUGCCAGCAGCACCCUGGAUCCCACCCCUCACCCUAGGAGUUUCAGUUAUCGACAAGUCCAUGUAGUACUACAUGCGAAGUACAAAAAUUACUGCUAGUGAGAGUUCAUUUAAAUCCUGGAAGUUCAACGCUGCAACUACAGGCCGUUCAAUCUCUCCGUCGUGGACACGCCCCUCCACCUCCUUCUGGUUGCUAGUCAUCCCGGUGUGGCCAGGCCGCUGGGUUCGCCGCUGCUGCGAUCAGCAGUCCAACCCGGCCGCCCCAGGCCGUUCACCGUCGCAGCUCCCUGGCCGACUGUGUCGAGCCACCUUCCGCCUGCACCUUGGGCUCCCGUAUGCGUCCCCUACCCCAGCAGGUGCACACGUCCCGGCCCACCGUUCCCUGUGUUGUUCUUUUGACCUUGAACUAUAUAGGAUACAACUUUUAUUUGAUUUUCAGUUCACCUUUUCCGUUCUUUUCAGUUCAUAAACUUUAAUGUAUUGAUGAAAUCCUGAAAUAUCAUAUGUGCACUCUACGUAAUUGUUUUUAUGCCUACGAACAAUUCUUCACUUGUGCUGUUAUGCAUCAGUUUUGGUCACCAAAAAAGUGGAGGUUUAGAUAUGACAAAAUGGAUUAGAGCGCCAUGUCCUCACCCAGAAGUAUGAAAAAAUCAUUGCUUUCAGUUCUAGUAAAUUGUUUUUUUUAAAUGGACUGCUGAUUCUUUCUGUAAUGGGCUUUAUAUAUUAUCUUUCCUAUGUCUUACUGUACGAAAAUAUGGUGGCCUUCAGCAAGUAAUCUUUCUCUAACGGGCAUCCUAUGCCUGCGCCACCGAGAGCCUGAUCCUACUUGCUGCGUGCUCACGGCAACCACAAGCAUCGUAAGAAAAAGGCUCGUUGAGCUGCACUUGUUUGUACUGUCGCUCUUCCUCUGCUCCUCAAGCGCCACUGCUGUCUCGUGCUGACCUCGACGCACCGACCGUCCUCCAGGCUGCUGCUGGUUCGUGCUACAUAAACAAACAGAGUUAAAGAACAUAGAUGAGAGGAAUUCAGUUCAGGAAGAUUAAAGGGUUAACCUCCUGGGAUACACGAAGUUUCAGUUCGUCGAGAGGCUUCCUGGAGCUUCAAAACAUUUCACUUCACCUUUUUAGGCUUUUUCAGUACAUCUUACAAAGUGUGUUUCCUUUCAUCAUUUUUGUCUACUUAAAAGAAGUGUAGAAACUUGAGGAAAUACCCCCAAAAUCAUGUGUGCCCUCAGCACUCUUCUACGUGCUUGUUCUAAUGCUUAUGAGAAUUAUUCUUCAAGGUCAUAAUUUGGAACUAGAUAACUUUUCAUAGAUGAUUGUACUGAAGCUAGGUGUUUAACAGAAUUAUUUCUCAUAAGUUCGCAAAUCACCUAUUGGUUUGGGUUACAUCUCAUCCACAUCUUCACGAAAAAAGUUGGAACUUGCAUCUAUAUUUAUGUUCCGGUUACCUUCGGUUAAUUGUACUGAAUUUGGCUAAUUGUAGCUUAUUAGUACUAAACUUUUGUGCAUGUGCUACCUUUUGUAAAGUUCAUCUUGUCUAGUAUAUAUUACUGCUGUCGUUGAUUGCAGAUUUUGUUUUUGGGAAUUCCACCGUUGAUCCCAAGCUCCACGGGCAUUUCAUGCAUUCGCUGGUCUGUGUGUGCAAUUAUUCUAUUAUGGAGAUGUCAGUUCAUUACAGCGCUACUCCGGCUUUUUUCUCCUACAACAAGACUUGCGUAUGGCUACAGGUUCAUAUCAAGGAAGUUUAGAAAAAUUGCAGCGCCUUUCAGUUCAUUGUAUGAAAAAAGCAAAGUUCAUCUUGUCUAGUAGAGGUUGCUGCUGGUGUCCGUUCAUUGUCGAUUUCGUUUUGGGAAAUUUCCAAAACUUACUGCUGAGAACGGAUGCAGUUUGAUCUUGCGCAAGUUGGAAAUUCCCUGAUGCUGAGUGUGUCAGUACAACCCUACGUCACACAGGGAACAGUGUGUGUACAUUUUUGGAUUUAAUUUUGGAAGGUUCGCACAUCCAUAUUAGAGAGAUUCAUCGGACAUAAUUUUGUAAGUUCAGAAAAAGCAAUUGCUCAGUACAUCACAGCAGCUCUUCAAUGCAAAAAGGAUGGCUCUUCUCAAGUCAGCAGCUAACUGAACUGGCAACUUCAGGGUAGCUCAGUCAAAUAUGGCAGCUGUGCAGUAAACAACUUCAGCUGAGAAAUCAGCAAGGUCUAAUGCAUACUGUCUUCUAUAACUCAUUUCACUUCAUGGUUUCUUCACAUGUUUGUUGUUUCCUAAUUAUCCUAAUUCCUAAAUGUUCUACUCAACUUCAGCGCCAUGCUCAGUCCAACCCCGUGGUUUCAGGGUGGCCGAGUUCGUCGCGACCAUCAGUUUGGAGACCUGCGUCACUGCCCGUGUCGCUACCAUGGCCACCUGCAUCACUGCGUGCUCCGUCAACAGCCUCCUGCACAAGGAAAAGCAACCGGAGUAGAGGCUUUUGAGAUGCUCUGUUCUAGCGAGGUGGCUGAUUAUGUUUGUCAGUUUGUAAUAUACUUUGGCCGCAGUUUACUUAUGUAUCUUUUUCUGGCCGGAGCACGACCAGAGCUUAUGUCAGUAUGAACUUUGAUUGUGAUGGUACUACAAACUCUAUAAUUACUUACCUUUUAUACAAUCCACUUGGAUUGUGCCCCUAUUACCAACUGUGGUACAAAAAUGCACUGUGCUCACCAUUUUAUUUUAGUUCAUCAGUUUGUAAUACUUUAAAGAGAGGAGGUAAAAGUGAACCAUUUGGUUUUGUAUUAUAAAAAGUGUUAAUGUGAGAAACUUCAAAAACAUCUUGUUUAA